UAGCUUGCACAGUGGUGGUAUCAUAGCCAAUGAGGUUUAUCUGAGGUGUGAUUACUGCUAAUUGAAAACUUUUCCCAACACUCUGCUGUGAUGACUUGCAAUAUAGUAGACAUUGGGGAAAAAGAAAAAAAAUA